rnacentral:rRNA from 1 species
CAGUAGCCACGGUAAAACGUAGGUGGCAAGCGUUGUCCGGAAUUAUUGGGCGUAAAGCGCGCGCAGGCGGCCUAUCCAGUCUGUCUUAAAAGUUCGGGGCUCAACCCCGUGAUGGGAUGGAAACUGUAUGCCUUGAGUGCAGGAGAGGAAAGCGGAAUUCCCAGUGUAGCGGUGAAAUGCGUAGAUAUUGGGAGGAACACCAGUGGCGAAGGCGGCUUUCUGGACUGUAACUGACGCUGAGGCUCGAAAGCCAGGGGAGCGAACGGGAUUAGAUACCCCCGUAGUCCCUGUCUCUUAUACA